rnacentral:tRNA from 1 species
GUUAAUGUAGUAUAAUAUAUUAUAUUUGUUUUAAGCGCAAAAGAUUUAAUUAGCA